rnacentral:rRNA from 1 species
UUAAGCCGCCAUAUCACCCUGUAGCCCAAGACUGGUUGCCCACUGAAGCUAAGCAGGGCUGAGCCUGGUCAGUACCUGGAUGGGAGACCUCCUGGGAAAACUAGGUUGCUGCUGGAA